GACGAACGCUGGCGGCGUGCUUAACACAUGCAAGUCGAACGGAAAGGCCCUGCUUUUGUGGGGUGCUCGAGUGGCGAACGGGUGAGUAACACGUGAGUAACCUGCCCUUGACUUUGGGAUAACUUCAGGAAACUGGGGCUAAUACAGGAUAGGAGCUCCUGCUGCAUGGGGGGGGUUGGAAAGUUUCGGCGGUUGGGGAUGGACUCGCGGCUUAUCAGCUUGUUGGUGGGGUAGUGGCUUACCAAGGCUUUGACGGGUAGCCGGCCUGAGAGGGUGACCGGCCACAUUGGGACUGAGAGACGGCCCAGACUCCUACGGGAGGCAGCAGUGGGGAAUAUGGCACAAUGGGCGGAAGCCUGAUGCAGCAACGCCGCGUGCGGGAUGACGGCCUUCGGGUUGUAAACCGCUUUCGCCUGUGACGAAGCGUGAGUGACGGUAAUGGGUAAAGAAGCACCGGCUAACUACGUG
rnacentral:rRNA from 1 species